rnacentral:sRNA from 1 species
GGCAACAGAGCGCCGGAUGCCGGAAAGUUGGUCAAACUUGAUCAUUUAGAGGAAGUAAAAGUCGUAACAAGGUUUCCGUAGGUGAACCUGCGGAAGGAUCAUUACCGAUAUCCAAGAACAACAACCGUUGUUUGCCUUGUGAACCGUACCAAACCUUUGAGGGGUCGGCAGCAGCCGUUAAAAUGGCGAGCGGACGCGCGCAUUCAUUGCAUUGCCAGGCGCGGCCGCCUCGCCUGCCCCGCCCGCGUUUUUUUUUUUUGUUACCCAUUGUUUGUCUGAUGUUUGCGGCGCCGCCCCCCGGCGGUUUUCCUGUGUGGCAAAAAAAAGAUAAGAGACAACUUUUGACGGUGGAUCUCUUGGCUCACGCAUCGAUGAAGAACGCAGCCAGCUGCGAUAAGUAGUGUGAAUUGCAGAAUUCAGUGAAUCAUCGAAUCUUUGAACGCAAAUGGCGCUCUUGGGUUCUCCCAGGAGCAUGUCUGUCUGAGUGUCGGAUAUCAUCCAGCGCAGGCCCCGUGCUUGCGGCGUUGAGGCGUCACGGCCCCCGUGGCCGUGUCCCUUGAAAGGCAGAGAGACUCGCAGCGGUUGCCGGGUUUUCCCUGGGCACACGUGCGGAGGCUAAAAGUUGGGCCAGUCCUUCGCGUGCCCUAGGGUCCCCGCCGCCAAAGAGUCGCGGAGGCGAAAAGGACGCAUACCUUCUUGACCUCAGAUCAGGCAAG